rnacentral:rRNA from 1 species
UACAGAGGUGGCAAGCGUUGUUCGGAAUUACUGGGCGUAAAGGGCGCGUAGGCGGCCAUCUAAGUCAGACGUGAAAUCCCCGGCUCAACCUGGGAACUGCGUCUGAUACUGGGAGGCUAGAGUUUGGGAGAGGGAUGUAGAAUUCCAGGUGUAGCGGUGAAAUGCGUAGAUAUCUGGAGGAAUACCGGCGGCGAAGGCGGCAUCCUGGACCAAUACUGACGCUGAGGCGCGAAAGCUAGGGGAGCAAACGGGG